AGGAAUAUUGGUCAAUGGGCGUAAGCCUGAACCAGCCAAGUCGCGUGAGGGAUGAAGGUUCUAUGGAUCGUAAACCUCUUUUAUAAGGGAAUAAAGUGCGGGACGUGUCCCGUUUUGUAUGUACCUUAUGAAUAAGGAUCGGCUAACUCCGUGCCAGCAGCCGCGGUAAUACGGAGGAUCCGAGCGUUAUCCGGAUUUAUUGGGUUUAAAGGGUGCGUAGGCGGCCUUUUAAGUCAGCGGUGAAAGUCUGUGGCUCAACCAUAGAAUUGCCGUUGAAACUGGGGGGCUUGAGUAUGUUUGAGGCAGGCGGAAUGCGUGGUGUAGCGGUGAAAUGCUUAGAUAUCACGCAGAACCCCGAUUGCGAAGGCAGCCUGCCAAGCCAUGACUGACGCUGAUGCACGAAAGCGUGGGGAUCAAACAGG
rnacentral:rRNA from 1 species